rnacentral:rRNA from 1 species
GACGAACGCUGGCGGCGUGCCUAAUACAUGCAAGUAGAACGCACAGUUUAUACCGUAGCUUGCUACACCAUAGACUGUGAGUUGCGAACGGGUGAGUAACGCGUAGGUAACCUGCCUGGUAGCGGGGGAUAACUAUUGGAAACGAUAGCUAAUACCGCAUAAUAUUAAUUAUUGCAUGAUAAUUGAUUGAAAGGUGCAAAUGCAUCACUACCAGAUGGACCUGCGUUGUAUUAGCUAGUAGGUGAGGUAACGGCUCACCUAGGCGACGAUACAUAGCCGACCUGAGAGGGUGAUCGGCCACACUGGGACUGAGACACGGCCCAGACUCCUACGGGAGGCAGCAGUAGGGAAUCUUCGGCAAUGGACGAAAGUCUGACCGAGCAACGCCGCGUGAGUGAAGAAGGUUUUCGGAUCGUAAAGCUCUGUUGUAAGAGAAGAACGGGUGUGAGAGUGGAAAGUUCACACUGUGACGGUAUCUUACCAGAAAGGGACGGCUAACUACGUGCCAGCAGCCGCGGUAAUACGUAGGUCCCGAGCGUUGUCCGGAUUUAUUGGGCGUAAAGCGAGCGCAGGCGGUUAGAUAAGUCUGAAGUUAAAGGCUGUGGCUUAACCAUAGUACGCUUUGGAAACUGUUUAACUCGAGUGCAGAAGGGGAGAGUGGAAUUCCAUGUGUAGCGGUGAAAUGCGUAGAUAUAUGGAGGAACACCGGUGGCGAAAGCGGCUCUCUGGUCUGUAACUGACGCUGAGGCUCGAAAGCGUGGGGAGCGAACAGG